rnacentral:rRNA from 1 species
UAGGUAUGCUUAGGGAGGAGCUUGCGUCACAUUAGUUAGUUGGUGGGGUAAAGGCCUACCAAGACUAUGAUGUGUAGCCGGGCUGAGAGGUUGAACGGCCACAUUGGGACUGAGACACGGCCCAAACUCCUACGGGAGGCAGCAGUAGGGAAUUUUCGGCAAUGGAGGAAACUCUGACCGAGCAACGCCGCGUGAACGAUGAAGUAUUUCGGUACGUAAAGUUCUUUUAUUAGGGAAGAAUAAAUGAUGGAAAAAUCAUUCUGACGGUACCUAAUGAAUAAGCCCCGGCUAACUAUGUGCCAGCAGCCGCGGUAAUACAUAGGGGGCAAGCGUUAUCCGGAAUUAUUGGGCGUAAAGGGUGCGUAGGCGGUUAAAUAAGUUUAUGGUCUAAGUGCAAUGCUCAACAUUGUGAUGCUAUAAAAACUGUUUAGCUAGAGUAAGAUAGAGGCAAGUGGAAUUCCAUGUGUAGUGGUAAAAUGCGUAAAUAUAUGGAGGAACACCAGUAGCGAAGGCGGCUUGCUGGGUCUUUACUGACGCUGAGGCACGAAAGCGUGGGGAGCAAACAGGAUUAGAUACCCUGGUAGUCCACGCCGUAAACGAUGAGUACUAAACGUUGGGUAAAACCAGUGUUGAAGUUAACACAUUAAGUACUCCGCCUGAGUAGUACGUACGCAAGUAUGAAACUUAAAGGAAUUGACGGGACUCCGCACAAGCGGUGGAUCAUGUUGUUUAAUUCGAAGGUACCCGAAAAACCUCACCAGGUCUUGACAUGCUUCUGCAAAGCUGUAGAAACACAGUGGAGGUUAUCAGUUGCACAGGUGGUGCAUGGUUGUCGUCAGCUCGUGUCGUGAGAUGUUGGGUUAAGUCCCGCAACGAGCGCAACCCUUAUUGUUAGUUACCAGCACGUAAUGGUGGGGACUUUAGCAAGACUGCCAGUGAUAAAUUGGAGGAAGGUGGGGACGACGUCAAAUCAUCAUGCCCCUUAUGACCUGGGCUACAAACGUGAUACAAUGGCUGUUACAAAGGGUAGCUGAAGCGCAAGUUUUUGGCGAAUCUCAAAAAAACAGUCUCAGUUCGGAUUGAAGUCUGCAACUCGACUUCAUGAAGU